CAGGCCCAGCAUUGCAUCUGUGAUCUGCAUUUUACAUCUUCUCUCACCUGCUCACAGCAGCUCCUCAAGGUGUCGCCGAACCUCGUGGUCUGAGCCACCAUCAAGAGGCGGGGCGCUGAGUUUCACUCACCCAUUCAACACGUGUCAAAGGCCACCAGACACGGUCCUGUGACCCGAGGAUACUGUGACAAAUGUCCCUGCCUCCAGAACAUUCAGAAGGAAACGGCGUCUUGGCAGAGUAAUUAAUUUUUCCAAGGUGAGUGGACCAGUAGCUCCCUUGUAGAGGUAGAAUUCCACCAGCUCCGUCCUUUCCGAGCCCGCCUUCUUCCCACGGAGCGGCUGGAUUGUCCCCGAACUCCUCCUCUCACGUUCUGGAUGUGCACACAGAAAUUACCGAAGCCGGAGUGCUUGUAUACACGGAGACUGCCCGGAAGUUGACCGGAGAUCCUUGUGGCUUUCAUGUGCCGCGGUCCUGAUUCCCGAGGAUAGCCACCGUAGCAGUCCGGUGGGAGUCCCUUCCUGCCAGCACCGGCUAGGUAAUCGUGGGGCCUGGUGCAAAACGAAAAGGUGGGCCCCAGGUUCAAAAAUAAUGAAGAUUUUCAAGAUGGCACAGCAGACCAGUAGUGGAGCGUGGGGCCCUUCUGAGUGUGGGGGGCUGUGUUGCGGCACGGGCCUCACGCUGCUAAGGCUAGCUCUGCUCCCCGGUUUGCUUCUUCAGUGCACUCCCCAAAUAUGUUCAGGUCUUUAACUGAGCACAAAAAGCCAGCCUCGGGGCGCCUGAAGCCUCUGCCUUC